rnacentral:sRNA from 1 species
UUAGUGUUAGUUAGUACACAGUAUAGUG